ensembl:lincRNA
ACUUUAAAUAAUGUCAUUGGUACUAUUAGUACUGCUCAAAAUUUAUUCAUGCAUUUUUUUAUUCACUUUAGAUAAAAAAUCUGUUAGAAUAGCAUAGAAGACAAUGGAAGGGAAGAGGAGGAGAGCAGAGGAGACCAUCUAAUAAAGAUUGUAGAAGACCUUCAGUCCUGCAUCCACAAAGUCAAAAUUACAUAAAUCGAUAGUUCCAGGAUGUGCGUACAGUUUCAUCAAAUCAAUACUUUUCAGUGACUACAUGCAUUCUCUAAAGUGCAUUUCAUUAAGGAAGAAGAAAGGAAAGAGAAAAAGAGAGGUAAGUAUCAUUAAAACAUGAAUAAAAGUGUCUGAGUAUAGUCAAAAAAUAAAAUAAAACAAAA